GAUGAACGCUGGCGGCGUGCCUAAUACAUGCAAGUCGAGCGAACAGACGAGGAGCUUGCUCCUCUGACGUUAGCGGCGGACGGGUGAGUAACACGUGGAUAACCUACCUAUAAGACUGGGAUAACUUCGGGAAACCGGAGCUAAUACCGGAUAACAUGUUGAACCGCAUGGUUCAACAGUGAAAGACGGUCUUGCUGUCACUUAUAGAUGGAUCCGCGCCGCAUUAGCUAGUUGGUAAGGUAACGGCUUACCAAGGCAACGAUGCGUAGCCGACCUGAGAGGGUGAUCGGCCAGACUGGAACUGAGACACGGUCCAGACUCCUACGGGAGGCAGCAGUAGGGAAUCUUCCGCGAUGGGCGAAAGCCUGACGGAGCAACGCCGCGUGAGUGAAGAAGGUCUUCGGAUCGUAAAACUCUGUUAUUAGGGAAGAACAAAUGUGUAAGUAACUAUGCACGUCUUGACGGUACCUAAUCAGAAAGCCACGGCUAACUACGUG
rnacentral:rRNA from 1 species